UCCUAAGCUGUUCACACUUACCCUACGGAA
rnacentral:piRNA from 1 species